rnacentral:rRNA from 1 species
GACGAACGCUGGCGGCGUGCUUAACACAUGCCAGUCGAACGAGAGCGUAGAGAAAGCUUGCUUUUUCUACAAUCUAGUGGCAAACGGGUGAGUAACGCGUAAACAACCUGCCCUACGGAUGGGGACAACAGCUGGAAACGGCUGCUAAUACCGAAUACGUUCCGAAAGUCGCAUGACUAUCGGAAGAAAGGAUGGCCUCUAUUUAUAAGCUAUCGCCGGAGGAGGGGUUUGCGUCUGAUUAGCUAGUUGGAGGGGUAACGGCCCACCAAGGCGACGAUCAGUAGCCGGUCUGAGAGGAUGAACGGCCACAUUGGAACUGAGACACGGUCCAGACUCCUACGGGAGGCAGCAGUGGGGAAUCUUCCGCAAUGGGCGAAAGCCUGACGGAGCAACGCCGCGUGAGUGAAGACGGCCUUCGGGUUGUAAAGCUCGGUUAUACGGGACGAAUAAUCUUGUGGUUAAUACCCAUGAGAAGUGACGGUACCGUAAGAGAAAGCCACGGCUAACUACGUG